rnacentral:sRNA from 1 species
UCCAGCAAGCCAGAAGGCAUCAGCAACAGCACUAACCAACUCUGGAUCUCAAUAGUGAGCUAUCAUGCAGGGAGCUGGUUUUAUAGCUGACUGCACAAGUUAAAGCCAUUUCCACAAGGACAUGGGUCUGGACAAUCAAGUAGAAAGAAUUUCCAAAUUGGUGGAAGAAAUGGACAUGAAUUUUAGGUUGAGCUGUCAACACAGAUUUCUUCUGUUUAUAUUCUUCUUGAUGAAACUCAAUAGAAAUAUUUCUAUUUCCUGGAUAUUUUUGCAAUUAGUCACUGGAUAAAAAGGUUUUCACAGACUAAUGUAUCAUCACUACAGAAGAAAAGAGAAGCAAAUUUGUGGAGAAAUCUGGGAAAUGGUCUGCUGCAGUGAAAGCCCAUGCAGCAUUUUAUUCGAAUAAUAU